AAUCAACGCUGGCGGCGUGCCUCAGACAUGCAAGUCGAACGCGAAAUCUCCCUUCGGGGAGAAAGUAGAGUGGCGCACGGGUGAGUAACACGUGGGUAAUUUACCUUCGGGUGGGGAAUAACAGUCGGAAACGACUGCUAAUACCGCAUGAUGCAGCGGCACCACAUGGUGACAGUUGUUAAAGCGGGGGAUCGCAAGACCUCGCGCCUGAAGAGAAGCCCGCGGGCAGAUUAGCUAGUUGGUAAGGUAAUGGCUUACCAAGGCAACGAUCUGUAGCCGGCCUGAGAGGGCGGUCGGCCACACUGACACUGAAUAACGGGUCAGACUCCUACGGGAGGCAGCAGUCGGGAAUUUUGGGCAAUGGGCG
rnacentral:rRNA from 1 species